GCCUGGCUGGCUCAGUUGGUAGAGCGUGUGACUCUUGAUCGCAGGCUUGUGAGUUUGAGCCCCAUGUUGGGUG
rnacentral:tRNA from 1 species